rnacentral:rRNA from 1 species
GACGUAGGUGGCGAACGUUAUCCGGAAUUAUUGGGCGUAAAGGGUGCGUAGGUGGCCUGACAAGUUAUCAGUGGCAAAUCGAGGCUCAACCUCGUGGAAACUGGUAAUACUGUUCGGCUUGAGUACAGGAGAGGUUAACGGAACUCUAUGUGGAGCGGUAAAAUGCACAGAUAUAUGGAAGAACAUCAAUAAAGGCGAAGGCAGUUAACUAUUCUGUUACUGACGCUGAGGCACGAAGGCGUGGGGAGCAAAACGG